rnacentral:piRNA from 1 species
GGUCCAGGAUGAAACCUAAUCUGA